rnacentral:lncRNA from 1 species
GAAUAUAGGUAAGGGAUAGAGUAGAUUUUUAUGGAUUAGCAAUAAGAAGAAAAGAGGAGAAUUUGGAUACAAGCCCUGGAAGAAGAUUCUGAGAAAGAAAGAAGGAUUGUGAAGUUUUACUGGCUUUAAAGGUCAUUCACUCUCUGCCCUGAUUUCCACCAAGCUGGAAGGAGUUUUUUGCUCUGACAGAUUAUCCCUUGGUAGUCCUAAAUCUCAUGGAGAGUUUAGUGACUCAUUGGUGAAGAGAGCCAAAAAAGAAUUCCACAUGGGGAUUAUAUCACUGUGCCAAGAAAAAGAAAAUUCUACUCCUAUGGUUCCAGAAUGACUGUCUUGCCAAUCACAUUACUGUAAAAUAUCUGGAGAAUAAGUCAACCAUCCAAAGAUCCUUUCUACCAACUACCAACUCUGUGUUGACUCCCAUCCCAGAGCUCUAAUAAAAGAAGGUAGAAAACUAGUAUAUCCA